GCUGUAGUGUCUGUUUGUUAUUCAACUGUAAGAGGUGGGGCAGAAAGAGUAUAAGACAGGACUGCAAGGGGCAGAGAGACACUCGUCUUCUACUGAGGUCCAGAAGACAUCAAGACAACCAGGUAUCAAUCAGUCAGCAUAUUCCAACUAUCAGAGUAAAGGAUGAAGAUCCAGAGUAUGUUACUGCUGUUCGCUCUAGUGGGUGUCCUGUUAGCAAGCUCCCUUAAUGAAGAUAACGCUAAGGAAGAGGAUAGUGCCAUGGAGAAGUUGGAGAAUGGACUUGUGAAUGCCAUUGCAGAAGAUGAAGCACAACGUAUGUACAUAUAGCUAUCUACAUG